CUGGAGCUUGCUCCAGUGGAUUAGUGGCGAACGGGUGAGUAACACGUGAGCAAUCUGCCCUUGACUCUGGGAUAACUGCGGGAAACUGUAGCUAAUACCGGAUACGACACCUUGGGGCAUCCCAGGGUGUGGAAAGAAUUUCGGUCAAGGAUGAGCUCGCGGCCUAUCAGCUAGUUGGUGAGGUAAUGGCUCACCAAGGCGACGACGGGUAGCCGGCCUGAGAGGGUGACCGGCCACACUGGAACUGAGAUACGGUCCAGACUCCUACGGGAGGCAGCAGUGGGGAAUAUUGCACAAUGGGCGCAAGCCUGAUGCAGCAACGCCGCGUGAGGGAUGAAGGCCUUCGGGUUGUAAACCUCUUUUAGCAGGGAAGAAGCGAAAGUGACGGUACCUGCAGAAAAAGCACCGGCUAACUACGUGCCAGCAGCCGCGGUAAUACGUAGGGUGCAAGCGUUGUCCGGAAUUAUUGGGCGUAAAGAGCUCGU
rnacentral:rRNA from 1 species